AUUGAACGCUGGCGGAAUGCUUUACACAUGCAAGUCGAACGGCAGCACAGGUGCUUGCACCUGAUGGCGAGUGGCGAACGGGUGAGUAAUACAUCGGAACGUGCCCAAUCGUGGGGGAUAACGUAGCGAAAGUUACGCUAAUACCGCAUACGAUCUAAGGAUGAAAGCGGGGGACCGUAAGGCCUCGCGCGAUUGGAGCGGCCGAUGUCAGAUUAGGUAGUUGGUGAGGUAAAGGCUCACCAAGCCGACGAUCUGUAGCUGGUCUGAGAGGGCGACCAGCCACACUGGGACUGAGACACGGACCAGACUCCUACGGGAGGCAGCAGUGGGGAAUUUUGGACAAUGGACGCAAGUCUGAUCCAGCCAUUCCGCGUGCAGGACGAAGGCCUUCGGGUUGUAAACUGCUUUUGUACGGAACGAAAAAGCUCUUACUAAUACUAGGAGUCCAUGACGGUACCGUAAGAAUAAGCACCGGCUAACUACGUGCCAGCCGCCGCCGUAA
rnacentral:rRNA from 1 species